AUUGAACGCUGGCGGCAGGCCUAACACAUGCAAGUCGAACGAGUGGCGGACGGGUGAGUAAUGUCUGGGAAACUGCCUGAUGGAGGGGGAUAACUACUGGAAACGGUAGAUAAUACCGCAUACCAUCAGAGUUGCCCAGAUGGGAUUAGCGAGUUGGUGGGGUAACGGCUCACCAAGGCGACGAUCCCUAGCUGGUCUGAAAGGAUGACCAGCCACACUGGAACUGAGACACGGUCCAGACUCCUACGGGAGGCAGCAGUGGGGAAGAUUGCACAAUGGGCGCAAGCCUGAUGCAGCCAUGCCGCGUGUAUGAAGAAGGCCUUAGGGUUGUAAAGUACUUUCAGCGGGGAGGCGUUACCCGCAGAAGAAGCACCGGCUAACUCCGUGCCAGCAGCCGCGGUAAUUC
rnacentral:rRNA from 1 species